rnacentral:rRNA from 1 species
GGGUCAGUAGGUUGGUCGUGCCACCGGUACGUACUGGUCUCGCUGAUUCCUCCUUCCUGAAGAACCGUAAUGCCAUUAAUUUGGUGUUGCGGGGAAACAGGACUGUUACUUUGACAAAAUUAGAGUGUUUAAAGCAAGCUAACGCUUGAAUACAUUAGCAUGGAAUAAUGAAAUAGGACGAUCGAUCCUAUUUUGUUGGUUUCUAGGAUUGACGUA